rnacentral:misc_RNA from 1 species
UAAUAAUAAUAUUAAUAGUUGUAACGAUAAUAUUGAUAAAGGUAACGAUAAUAUUCGAAGCGAAGGUAUAAAAAAAGAAAAACAAAAGGAUUAUUCAGACGAACCGAUCUACUUCAGAGCGUAGCCUAAACCUGACGAGUACAAAGGAAAAUAAAAAAAAGUGAAGAAAAAUUUACCCUAAAUACUUCCACUCCACAAAUUGACUAAACAAAUCUGUAGAAAAGAGAUAAAGAUUAAGAUAGAAACAAAAAGAUAAAGAUUAAACAUUUUGGAACAAUCGCUGAAUGCCUGUAUAAUAAACAUCCGCACCUGCACACCGCACGAGCCCACAAAUUAUACAUAUAUAUAUAUAUAUAUAUAUAUAUAUAUAUAUAUAUAUAUCUAUAGACACACACACACACGUAAAUUCAUAUAUAAAUUAUAAAGCGAACGAUCAGAGGCUGCGCGCGACUAUAUCCAAGAAUCUGAGUAGAGCGUCUGCGGAAAGUAAAGUAAGAUAAGAGGAAAGAGGAAAUUGCCAGAUGUCGUUGGUGCGGAGGUCCGAAUUUGACUCGCAACGAUUCGUACCUUGGAUGCGGUAAGGAGGGCGACGGGGGCGAAAGAGAGUUCGACAGAGGAGGUAUCGGGAGCGAAUAGGACGCAGCCUUGCCGCCUCCUCGACCAAAGGUGAACUCGCAGGGGGAGGAGAGGACGGCCGUAAGGAUGUGGCGGAGAAGAUGAGCGCCGACGUGACCAAGGAGGUCGCCUCCGAGAGGGUGAGCCCUCCGGCAGCCGCGACCUCGCCGAAUUCCGGUCCCGGCGAGACGGCCUCCCGCCACCUUCCGCCCUUCAGCAGCUUCGCCGACGGCGCCAUGGACAGCUCGACGACCCUGACGACCCUCCACCCCCAGGACGUGGGCCUCGGCCUGACCUCAUCUUGGGACUACUACGAGGGCCUCACCGGUCGGCUGAUCGACUCCCGGGGCGAGGUCGUCCUCGCCAGCCAGUACCGACCGUGGGAGUCGAAGAACGCGGCGGGGGGCGAGGGCCUCCCGAGUUUCGCGAGUCAGUUCACCGCCCCCAGCGAAGCCGAGCCCCAGCUCACCGCCCUGACACCCCUCUCCCCGGCCUCGGUAUCCCACUCGCCCCCCGUCACGGCCGUCGGUCUUCCCAGCUUCCACACCCUCGGCAGUCCCCUGCCCACCCCCCACCCCCACCGCGGGCCCGUCGGCUACCCCCUCGUCCCGGCCCCCGUUCAGGCCCGCGAGGUUCCGGCGCUCCAGCAGCAGCUACUGGACGAGAGGCACAUCCAGCUGCUCGGCUCGAACCCGGUGCAGGCCUUUCCGCCGCCACCCGGGCACCCCCAUCACGCCGUUUUGACCGUCGUUAAGCCGGAGUAUCCGCAGCUACAUCACACCAACUUUCAGAACCCGAUGUCGACGGUGCUCGACACGCCGACCUCGCGCGUCAACAUCGACGGCAGGAAGAAGGAGAGGAGAAAAAUUCGAGCCGGUUCCAUGGAGUCCGAGGACGGGGCCAACGUCGAGAGCUCCGGGCAGGUGGCUGCUGUUUCCUCCACCGCCAAUCGAGGACAGCAUCACAUCGGCGGCGGGAUCGGGGACGGGGACAGCGAGGGCGGACUCGGCGAUAAACCCGCCAAGAAGAAGCGGAAACGAUGCGGCGAGUGCAUCGGGUGCCAGAGGAAGGACAAUUGCGGGGACUGCGCCCCCUGUCGCAACGACAAGAGCCAUCAGAUAUGCAAGAUGAGACGAUGCGAGAAACUCACCGAGAAAAAGCACCUCUAUCACUUGCAAACAGGGGAUGGAGCAUUCAGGGAAAGAGGCCGAGGUAGAGGGAAAGGAACACCCAGGAGUUACCGAAAGAUCGCGCGCCAAGUCAGCACGCCGGAUACACCGACGGUUGGACUGGGUAGUCCUCAGGCAGGUAUUGGCGGCUUGCAACAGCAACAACACCCGCAGCAACAGGGACUCCACGUUGACGCCAUGCAGCAGGCCAAGGACAGUUUGUCACCCGCGGUUGUUCAGCAGUCCGGAGCUCUUCGCAACGGGAAUCCGGCGCCACCAGUUGUGUCAAUGUCGUCUGGGGUGAUGCCCGGAUUCUACGGAGACACUGGUGCGGGUUUCCGACCUGCAGCUGGAUUCGGAAACACAGUAUGGCACCAAGGAGUUGGUCCAGUUGGUGCAGUGACGGUGGAGGCUGCGCCAGCCGCCUGGCCUCCUCAGCAAUUCAUCCAACAAAUACCAGCGCCCAACCAGCUCGAAGAACUGAGAUAUCACACUCAGUACAGCGCUGCAACUCCGUACCAUCCACAACCUGAUCUUUAUUUGGUUUCAGUUGCCUAUCAGCAACAGGCGUUCAUUACCGCUGAUCAGUCGGCGUUUCAACGGGCAGGCACAACCGGACAAUACGCUAUUACCGGUCAACCGUCGCCUCUAGCACCAGUUGUGGCCCAAUCGGCAGCCACUACUGUUCAAAGACCUCUUAACGGUCAGUUUAUGGACCCGGCAUCAACGCCGGGUCAACCAGUCGGUUACGAAAGACAGGAAUACGUUAAUGGAUACCAACAGCAGGACGUGACAAUGGCUCCACCGCCAUCGACAACUCCAACAAGUCGUAGUAGCUCGGUUCACAUGGAUACCCAACCGAAUCAGCAAAGUCAGCAGUUACAACAGCAGCAACAACAGCCGUCGUCGGACACGCAAGUAAAAGGCUUUGCCGCGAUCGCCGCCGGCAGCGUGUCGGGAAACGAGAUGCCUGGGUAUCUACUUCAACAGGGCCCGCAGAGUUUACACAGCUCUAACGGAUAUCCAGGCUACGUAGAAAUGGGUCAACAACAAGCGCAAAAUCAAUGGCAGACUCAGGUCACGCAGCAGCAACAACAACAACAACAACAACAACAACAACAGCAACAGCAACAACAACAACAGCAACAGCAACAGCAACAACAACAACAGCAACAACAGCAACAACAACAACAGCAACAGCAAAUGCAGCAGCAGACUGUGUCCGAUGCUAAUCAACGUCAUAUAUGGUCAGACACUAAUUCGAAUGCAAAAAUUGGUAACGUUAAUAGUAUGACGUGGUCUGACAAUAGCCUACAGCAACAACAAAGCCAGCAACAGCAACAACAGUUACAAACGCAACAACAAGAGCUUCAGAACCAACAACAAAGACUGCAAAAUAGUUUGAAACAGCAGAGUGAGCAACAAGCUCUACAAAAUCAACGACAACAGCAGCAAAUACAAAAUCAGCAACAGCAACAGCAGAGUCUACAAAAUCAGCAAGAGCUUCCAAGGCCAGCAAGUCAUAUGAGCUGGGAAAAUAGCAGUAUUAAGGAGCCGCAGACUCCCCAAUCUUGGUCGGAAGGUACCGAUAAUCAGCAACAGGCGCAGGGGAAUUGGCCACAACAAAGUCCUAAGCACAGAGACAACAAAAAUCCAAGGUUGACGCCGUCCACUCAGCAGCAAAGUCAGCAGGGUUGGCCCCAGCACUCUCCAAAGGUGUCUGAUCAUCAAACACAGCAGCAAAAUUCCCGAAUCACACCGACUGCUCAACAUAACUGGCAGCAAAGUAGUCCUGAGAAUCAGAAUCAGCAGCCUGGUCAACAGAAUCCAAGAUUAACGCCGUCUGGGCAGCAGAUGCAACAGCAACAACAGCAGCAACAGCAACAACAGUGGCAACAAUCGAAAAUUGAACAAAAUCCAAGAUUGACUCCAUCCAAUCAAAUGUCGUGGCCGGAUACACCAACUAGUCAACCGAACUGGUCACCGAGUAGUUUGAAGAGCGAUGGUAGUCAGCAGCCGCAACAACCAUGGCCAGAUUCUCAACCUAGUCCAAGGAGAACUCCCGGGCAUCAGACGGGUUCGUGGCAGAGUCAAGCGUCGCAAGAUAAUAAGAUGGAAACCCAAAUGAAUUGGUCGCCAAAUUCAACGGCAGAGAAUCAAGGUACUUGGGGACAACAAACGACGAAACAGGAUAUUCAAAAUUCUGGAGAAAGAAUUUUGUGGCAGCAGGGACCAGAAAGUAAUAAGCAAAAUGGUUUUCCGGAAAACCAAGAGCCACAAGACAAUAUGUUUUCACAAUCUAAUAGAGUUAAUUUAAACAGUCGAUUGAAAACUAUGAUUCUGAAUAAACAGCAACAACAGAUGCAACAGCAGCAGCAGCAGCAGCAGCAGCAGCAGCAACAGCAAAUGCAGCAGCAUCAGAUAAAUCAUCAAGAGCAGCAACAGCAACAGCAACAGCAUCAUUUGCAUCAUCAGAUCGGCCAACAUUCUAACGGAAGUAAUAACCCUAAUACUGAUUUUCCAACGGAUGAUAGACUUAGAGAACCAAAUGAAAGUGCUGAAAAGUUACAGGAAAAACGAUCAGGAGAAUAUUUGAACCAAGCAGCCAUGAUGUCUAUGGCACAAACUAAUGAAUCUAUGACCGGUAAUUUUUUAUUGCAUAGCCACCACCCUCGGGCCAAUAGUUUGCCCGACGGUGGUGGCUUAUGGGAGUGGACUGGAGGAGGAGGAAGUAAUGUGAGUAAUAGCACGUUGUUGCCGGAAACGGGAAUAGCUGCUAUUGAAAAUUUCAUGAAAUACGCAAGCGUUGAUAAAGAUGAGUCGGAAAAACCAGUGCCAGUUGAGGAACGACAUUCAUCCUGGACCGAACCAAAGACUCCAAAGGUUCCAGAUGAUGAGAAUAUUGAUGAUAAGUCGUUUCAACAGCGACUGUGUAUUGGUCAGAAUACCGAUGAUAUAUUUCCAAAAGAAGAAAACCAAGAUGAGACUUUCAAAAAACAAGAAGAUCCCAAAAACGAUAAAAAUGACAUUGAACCUGCUUUUGACAAAGAUUCUAGCGCUACUCAAGAAGAACAGACAUUCGAGGUGGAAAGUCUAGAAGCUUCGCCAACCUUCCGGACAGAAAAUAUUGAUGACGAGGUCAAGUACAACUCGGAGCAAGUCAUUAAGCAGGAAGUUGUGCCACACAGUUGUUCGCCUUUAGAAAGCACAGUGGAGUGUUCAACGAUGGAAAAUGAUAUAACGCCAAGUCUCGAUGCGAUAGUGAAGACUGAGCCUGAUCAAAAAUCCGAAAUGUCGGAAAUUAAUUAUAAGUUCAGGGGUGACGGGGGACCAGCAAUGGUGUCAUCGGAAAUUGGCUCGUGGUGCUGUAGAAGAGGUGGUACCGAACAACCGACACCCGAACAUUUGCGAGAAGGUUGUUGCCAAGGAUUGCAGACCCGCGAUGAAAUUUUGGCAGAGCCACCGCCAAAAGCAAACGGGGCACAGGAGGUGAAAAGUGAAGGACCCAACAGUCCUAGAGCACCGUCGACACCUAAGUUACAGGACCAUUUGGAUAAGCUCAAGAAUAAUGUUAGGACCGAAGUGCCGGACUGCAACUGCUUUCCAGCUGACAAAUUUCAACCAAAAGGUCCACCCGAACCCGGUUCGUACUACACGCAUCUUGGUGCUGCAGCGAAUCUUUCCGAUCUUCGAAAUGACCUUGAAAGAAGAACUGGACUGAAGGGAAUUGCUUUAAGAUUCGAGAAAGUCAUCUACACUGGGAAAGAGGGCAAAACAACACAAGGAUGUCCAAUGGCCAAAUGGAUAAUCCGCCGUUCUGGUCCUGACGAGAAGAUCUUGACUGUAGUAAAACAUCGCCAAGGCCACAAGUGCGCAACAGCCUGGAUUGUUGUUGCUAUGGUUGCAUGGGAGGGUGUACCGACACACGAGGCUGACAGGAUCUAUUCGCUUUUGAGCCACAAACUGAACCGUUUUGGUCUUCCUACAACCAGAAGGUGUGGAACUAACGAACCAAGGACUUGUGCCUGUCAGGGUCUGGACCCAGACACGUGCGGAGCCAGUUUCUCGUUUGGUUGUUCGUGGUCAAUGUACUACAACGGAUGCAAAUAUGCCAGAAGUAAAACCGUCCGAAAGUUUCGUCUCUCUGUGCGAACUGAGGAGCAAGAGGUAGAGGAGCGAAUGCACGUUUUGGCAACUCUGUUGUCUCCUCUUUAUCUAAGUCUUGCUCCGGAAGCUUUCAACAAUCAAACGCAAUUCGAACGCGAAGCAAGCGAAUGUCGACUGGGAUUUAAACCGGGACGACCAUUUUCCGGGGUCACAGCCUGCAUUGACUUUUGUGCACAUUCGCAUAGAGAUUUACACAAUAUGAACAAUGGUUGCACUGUGGUCGUGAGUUUAACAAAGCAUCGAUUGCUGACUAAACCAGAUGAUGAACAGCUUCAUGUCCUUCCACUAUAUAUCAUGGACGAAUCAGACGAGUACGGCUCAAAAGAAGGUCAAGAGGAAAAAGUUCGGUCAGGAGCAAUCGAAGUCCUGAGCAAGUAUCCCUGUGAGGUAAGAGUUCGGUCUGUACCCCUCCAGCCUUGUAGACGUCAUGGGAAAAAGCGAAAAGAAGACGAACCAGACGCAGCUAGUAACAAGAAAGACACGGGGAAAAACGCUACUGAAAAAACAAUUGAACCAACGAGACCUACAGGACACCAGGAGGCCCAUCGAACAGCCGUCAGAGAUUCAUCGCUUUCCUUAGAAAUGGCAACGAUGCUUGAAGGGAUGGAUGCUCAGCUGCAAAGUUCUCAAGUGUCUUCAACAGUGUUAGAUAGUCCAGUCUCAAUGUACCAGGGAUGGGGCUACCAAGGAGAUCAACAAUGGGCGAGAAGCGGUUGGCUUGACCAACGGAAAAACAACUGGCUCAACCCGUGGGGCGAUUAUCCUUUCAGUGGACUAGAACGAGACGUUAAAGUUGACCCGGAUAGCACAAGCUUAGAUGACACUAGACCGAGGAGCGCAUUUGCCCAGGAAGACAUGAGACCAGGAUCCAGAAAUUUUCCGAAUUCAACGGUAGAGUCGCCAAGAGGAAGCUAUUCUCUUUCACCAAGAGGACAUCAUCCUGUUUCACCUAGAAGUUCAUACCCGAAUACUUCCGGUGAAGCUUCGUACUCCAUGUCUCCUAGAGGGUAUCCAUCAACACGACAAGAAGAGAAAAUGGGAUCUCCUAGAAGUUCUGGUUAUCCUUGCAGCGCAACUCCAGGCGAGGGGAAUCACAAUUUUGGCUCCCCAACCCUAAGGAAUUAUCAAAAUUCGAGUUUGGACAACAGGCAAGCGACCGCAUCGCCGCGGGCUGGCUCUCACCACUCUUCACCGUAUCCUGAUGUGGUGCAAAGAAAUAUGUCACCUAGAGUAGGAUAUCAGGCGGCGCCUUUAUCAUCUCUUGAAGCCGCGCACGGUAGUCAAUCACCUAGCCUUGCAUAUUCAAAAAAUUUGCAGCAGAAUUACAUAGAGGGUAAUUGUCAGUUGAAGUUAACAUCACCAAGGAUGCAAAAUAAUGUGCACCAGCAAAGGUAUCAAAGUUGCAGCAUGGAAAAUCAGCAAGCAUCUAAGUUACCAUCACCGGAACAACAGAUCGAUCGUAACCAAGCGUUUGCAAAUAGAUUACAGCACAAUUUUGCCUCACAACAAACACCGCCGUCUUCCAGAACCAUGGGUUAUAGAAACCCCAACUUGAAUCCUGUCAACCCUCAGGAUUUAUUUUCGGGGACUUCUGCUGGUAUGUCUACAACCUGCAUAGACACGAGUGGUCACAAGCCUUUGUCGAAUUCAAGGAGCAGUUAUCCAGGUAUGCAGAAUCCUGAAUUCAUGCCGCAUAGUCCUUUGCUCAAUAUACCAUCAUCUGAAGGUCAUCACCCUCAGAAUACCAUGGGGUCAUCCUCAGAGUCAAAAAAAUCUUACGCAAAGAGUGGAUUACACAGACAAUCAGAUCUGACACGAACAGCUGCUAGCCCCUUUGUUCCUGCAUCUCCAGAUCACAAUGCUUCCUGUGGUAAUAUCAGUAGUAACAAUAAUUGGAAUACUCUUAACAACUGGGGAUCAAAUACAGUUAAACCACCUGAGCACCAGACACCGCAUCAUCAUAACGAAUCGCACAUGGAGCAGCAGAAGAACUCGCAAUUGUGGCAAGAACGAGCGGUGCAUAACGAAAAUCUAAAAACACCGUCUUGGGAAAUGCAGGUACAGGAACCUUCACCGUUCCGCGUACCCAAAGGUAGACCACCUUCGAGAACGGCGCCGAAUCAAAAUUUGCAGGAGGCAAACACCUUCCAGAACUCAUUUGCUAAGACAUUCCUGAAGCCGCAGGAACCAACCAAGAGUAAUCCGUACACCGAUAAUAGCAGUAACUACAAUAAUGUUCCGAAUAAUAGCAACGUCCCAAAUCACGAGAAGCAGCGAAGCGAUUGGCCAGAAGAUAAAUUGCGAGAAGGUUUUCACGAUGCCAGACAAGAGGAUCCCAAUACAAACUCGAGCUGCUUAGCUUGGGCCGAAGAGAUGAAGCAGAUUCAAGAUUUCCAUGCUAUAUCCGGCCUUGGACAUCACCCCUUUUCUCAGUACGGCUACCCUACUUAUCCUGUAUUCGACAAGCCAUACCCUAACACCUGGGAUGGCUAUAACUACCACCAACCAUAUCAUCAGACGCCAGAAUACCCCCAUCAAUUUUACCAACAGCCAAAACGAGAGCCGUGCUUCCACUCCCCGCAAUAUCCUUAUCAAGGGAUGAACCCCUACCAAGGAAUGAAUCCGGGAUGGGCAAGGUGGGAGACACCGCGAUGGGAUAUUUAUGGUCCUCCGUCUUAUUUUCCUGUGGUACCAGAGCCGCCUCCGAAAGCAGAACCUCUCGGUGAGGUGACUGAUUUUUCGGACAAUGACGAAUGUUUCAAAGACCCUCAGAUGGGUGGCGUUGCUAUAGCACUUGGACACGGAAGCGUUCUAUUUGAGUGUGCUAAGCAUGAAAUGCACGCGACAACGGCGCUCAAAAAACCGAACAGAAUUAAUCCAACUAGAAUCAGCCUUGUAUUUUAUCAACAUCGUAAUCUCAACAGACCAAGGCACGGGUGGGAUGAAUGGGAAGAGAAAAUGCGACUGAGAAAACUCGGCGUAACUGCUACGACAACCCAGUCAACACCAACGACACCGACAAGUCCUAGCUCAGCGAGCAGCGAGAAACUUCCACCUUUACCUUAUAUUCCCAGUGUUCCAAGCUCUCAGUUCAUGAUGAGGUCACCGACGUACACUACCAUGACGUGGACGACGUUGUUUCCGAUGCAUCCGUGUAUGAUAACCGGGCCAUAUCAAGAGGGUGGAGCGAUUGGAUGAGUAAAUGAUCAAACAAAGUAGAGUUCAAGUAACUGUUAAUGGUUGUUUCAAAAGCUUGGAUCAUGCGUUCGGAGGUGAAAACAAGUAACAGGACAGACACGAAUACCGCUGACGAUGUGUCAGAAAGAGAAUGAUAGAGAGGAGGAGAAAGAGAUUACUGUGCAGUAACAACAACAACAAGGAUCUGAGAUACUGCACAAUCACAUUUUCGAAAGAAGGAUAGUGAAGAAAAAAGUAAACAAGAAAAACAAAACAACACAAGAAAAUGAUCUCAAGUUUAUUAAUUACGGUAAAUGUUUUAUUUUUUAGCGUUUGUACAUUGUGCUUGUUAUUUCGUAUUUAUUAGUACGCACUCUGCACUAAACAUACAUAUAAUGAGUAUAUGAAGUAUGGUUAUAACAUAUGAAGUAUACAAAAAAUAUAUGAAAAUAAUUUAAAAACGACGGUAAAAAGGCAAAAAAAAAAAAAAAUACUAACCGCUCGCUAAGAGGCGACUGAGUACAAAGCAUUUUUUCUAACAAUCAUGAGUGAUAUUAAGAGAAAAAAAAAAAGAAAACAAUAUCUUUGAAAGACAAAAAGAAAAAAAUUAAAAAGUACCUAUUAAAUCGUACUACAUACUAUUGAGUGUUGUAAAACGAUUCCUGCUGCAAAUCUUGAUGCGGCAACGCAAGUGUUGACCAGUUUGGAACGUAUUUUAUUUUUUAUUGCUUCCAAAUAUUUAUAACGUACUAAAUGUUGCUUACGUGACGUAUCAUGCGUACAAGAAGUGUUGAAAGGAAAACAUUUUCGAGUCAGCCACACUCUUAAUAAAUGACUCAAAUCUACAUUGAAGAAGCUCAUAAUAUGACGAAAUUGAUCGUAUCUCAAAUUACAUGAAAAAAUAAUUACAAUUUUUUAAAACUAAAUCUAAUUUAUAUAUUAUUUGAAAUUUGUAUAUACUCUAAUUUAAUAGGUCGCAUUUGAUUUCAGACCUGUAUUAUUCAAUGAAUUUUUUCCAGCGAGCAAAAUAUGUAUUUACCAUUGCUUAGCUAAAUUCCAACUAUUUAUUUAUUAUUUUAUUAUAUACCUAUUGUUUUGACUUUUAGGAAAAUUUAGUAUGAUUUUAAAUGAUUUCUAGAUCGACAUUUUACAACAAUUAUAUACUAUUGUACUAUCAUUAUAAUUAUCAAUUAUUCUGACUAUUAAUUAAUAAUAUUAUAUCAGAUAAGUACUGAUUGAGUAUAAAGUUAGGAUGUUUUUUCUUUUUUCUUUUAUCGAAUUCACUUCUCGACACGCGGUGUACGCGAACCCGGAAAUCGGAACCGCCCUCGAGUAUUAUAAGAAUCACUAAUAUAUUAUCAUUCAUUAUUGUCACAAUAAUAAUUAGUAAUACAAUGUAAUUUAAUUAUUUAUUGAUUAAGUUUGACAAAGUGUUAUUGUACUACUAUGUUUAGCUAACUAUAUGUAUACAUAUUACAUAUUUUAUUACGAAACACUGAUGCUAGAGUGUGUAACAUGUAUUCCACUGUUGUUACUUUGGCUUGGUGAUCUCGUCAUUUUUAAGCAUUCGACUCUUGCGCAUGUGUAUGAACCAACGGAAAUUAUGUCUACCAUCUUAUAGCGUCAGAGUUUGGUACAAUCUAUUCCAAAUUUUUCUGUAAGGUAAGUUGAUUAAUUUUUGCGGAAGAUAUGAGGACGGACAGAAAUAUUCACAACAAAAUACUCGAAUUUUUUGUUUUGUUCGUUUUAUUCCGAUUUAGUCAAUUAAUAUUACUAGUUUGAAAAACGAAAUAUAUGUUAUAUGAUAACAGAGACUAUUUUUUUUUUCUCCAACUUUUACUCUCCGCGUUGAAUUUUACAUCUCCAGAAUUUUGGUUUCACGGGUAUUGUAUGUGUAUAAGUAUCACAGGGAGGCACAAAUACAAUUUACGAAUAAUUUCUCCUCUUUUCAGUUUCUCGAAUGAUGAAACACGGCUUUAAAAUUAUAUCGAAUAUAUUGUGCCAUCGUGGUAUUACAUUCGUUUAAGAAAAAAAAAUUUAAUUUGAAAUUUAAAUUGCCUUUGGAUCGUCGUGGCGUAAGAUUACUGACAUUUUUCGAAAAAUAUUUUGGUCAUCUUUUUAUCGGCUUAUAGAUUUAACGUCAUACGUCAGUCUUGCGAUCAAACUUUCUGACAUUUUCGUGUGGUAUCGAUGAUGAAAUGUUUCUAAUUGAACAAAUUUUCUACCACAUUGAUUUUGGUUUUCAAAUUCCACGUGCGUAUCAUGAAACGUUUUUAAACCAGUUUACAUGUAAAUAAAACAAAGAAGAGGGAGUGCGCAUCCCAGCUCCGAAAUCGCAGAGAGUUAUUGAACAAUUUUUGUAAAGAAAGAUAAAAAAAAAACAUGCAAAAAUGAAAGAGAAACAAAUCGAGAAAUAAAUGCGACGAUGCCAAAAUAGAGUUAAAACUAAUAAUUAGAAAGUAAAUACUUGUAAUAAGAACAAUAUAAAGUAACACUAUCAAAGCUAAAGAUAUGUAAGAAUGAAAUCAUUUUUAAAGUAAUACUAUUAUUAAAAGUAAUUAAAAGAAAAUAAAAAAUAUGAUUGAAUAAAAUCGAACGAGAAAGCAAAGUUGAAAAAUGUAUUUUUCCUUCCAAUGCCAAAAAGAUGCCAUUUUGUUUUGUACGAAAAAAUUGACGAAAAAAUCACGAAAAAAAAAAACUUUAAAAGAUCGGUAAUGAUAAAUAAUAUUAAUAAUUGAUAAAAGGUAUUGAAAACCCAUGUAGUUUUUAGCAAACGUAUGUAAGUGUAAGAGAAAAUUUGAUGUGUAUGUCUCGUGAAACAAACGUAAAACAUGUCCGCCUUAUAUGCAAAUAAAAUAAAUAAAUUUAAAAAAAGAAAAUGCAAAUAAAAAAAAAAAAAAAAAAAAACAGAAUUCAUAACAGGAAAUAAUAUAGCUGUUAGUUUACAAUAACAGAGUUUGUGAUUAAAAGAAGAAAAAAUAGUAAUGUAUCAGAUCCGUAUCACGGUUACACUUUGCCAGCUGAGAUUCGAAAAUUGCAGGAUGUUUGAAUGGCGGUCCAUAACGUAUCCUUGCGAUCUGAUCCUGCGAUUUUUAAGUCUGACAAAAAUACCUUGCAGAUAUCCCUUCAGGGCGUAUAUAAUAUACCCAUAUAUACAUGCAUAUAUAAAUAUAUAUAUAUAUAGUAUUAGGCAUAGUUUCUAUUUACAUAUGUGUACAUAUAUUUUUGGACAAAAACGUAAGAACAAUUUCAUUGGACAAAAAAUGAAUAAUAAUGCAAAUUAAGACAUCAAAAAAAUUAAACAUCAUUGCCGCGGCAAGUCGAGGGAAGCAUUUUGCAGCGAGGAAUUAACCAUACGAUUUUUUCUAAAAAUUCUCAAACUUUGUGCUUUACUAUCUGAUGCAAUGAUCAACUAAUCCCGAGAUCCGCUUGAAUAUCACACAUUCAAGAUUUAUUAAUUAUUGUUGUAUACAUCGAGGUACAUAACGUCGAAACUAUAUGGAUAAAUUUUCUGGUUUAUAUCCGUCGGAAUCAAAUGAAAUUAGACAAUGGUGGCAAAAGACGAAAUAUACAUUUUUUAUAAUAUACUAUACACACACGUACAUGCGAUUAUUCAUAAAUUUAAGGGAUUAGAUCUUGAUUGCCGGUGGUAUCGUGGUGACAAUUUGUUUUUUUUUGUUUUUUUUUUCAUUAACGUUUUUUUUUUUGCUAUUUACUUUAACAUUUUUGUACUAUCGUGGUUAUAUUAUUAUUGCCGUCUCCCAUUCUCAAAUGCAUGAUUCGUUGACUUAGAUGUAUUUACGAGUAUUUAUUUAUACAUAUUAAGCGAAUGAAAAUCUAAUAUAUAUUUAACGAAUAAAGGAACGUAAAAUAUAAAGUAAGUUUUUUUAAUAUAUUUAUAAAACGUUUGGUUUACUAUAUUAUUGACCUAAAAAAAAUAGUAUAAUUAUUAUGAACGUGAGACGAAAAAAUUUAAGCAAUUGACAAAAAGACUCAUUUUUGAAGUAAAUUAAAUUAUUAACAUCGUAAAAUUGAUAAGAUAUAAAUUAAUUGACUAAGAAAAAAAAAAACGAAUGAAAAUGUUUCUGCGU